UUGGGUUUCUCCAGAAUAGGAGGGCUGAGCUUGGCCAGCUCAGAACUACCUUAGCUGCUAGAGGAGACCUCUGAGGAAGACUGAGGAAAGAGUACGCUGUGAACCGCCGCUGGUGUGUGUACUCAGGCUACUCUCAACUCAGGUCUCCAGAUCCUGUGAAGAGGAAGCAGGUGGGUGCUCCCGGCCUAGCAUCUUCCCCAGAGAAGUUUGCUCUCAGGACUUGACUCCCUUUCUGUGGCUUCCGAUUUAGUGGCUGUGGUAAAGCCAAGCGUGGUCCCUCCCAGUUUUACCACUAGAUGGUCACUUAAGUUGCUGGAAAGACUGAUAGGAUGCAGCUGCAGAGGUUGAGAGAGGCAGGGCUCCCAUCGGUUUCAGUGACUUUCACACAGCUGCAUCCAGGGGCCUCUCUAGGCGGCUGAGUCUUGCCACACUAAAGGGUGAGUCUGAGAAUGAGCCACAAGGACAUCACACUUCCACUCAGGGACGCUUUAAAAGUCCCCCCAUGAGUUAGGGUGAAGGUUCAAAUAGGAAAAUGAGAAGGGCAAAGGGGAGGGUCCCGGGGAACAAAGAGAUGUGUCAUUACUAAUUAGCAGCUGAAGGAAGGCGGAAGGUGGAGAGAGGAAGCUAAAACAUAGCGGGAUCUCAGCCUCCUGGCGCAGUCGCAGUCUCAGUCGAUGUAGAGACCGCUGCCCUGACAGACAGGGUCCUCUCCAUGCAGAUGCCCUGUGAGCCUAGAAGUGCUGGCUGGGAUUCAGCGACCUGUUCUCCUCUCUGAUCUCAUUAUUUGGAACCCUUGAGUAGGAGUUGCCCAAUACCUGCUGAGAAUCUAGAACCCAAACUAGUCUGUGGGAGGAAAGACCAGGGGUGGCAUGGGGGUGUACCUUCCUGAUGUCACGUUCUCACCCCAACCUAGCAGAGAUCCAGAGAGAGGACCAGGAGCUCUUGGGGCUGUUGAAGGUUCACCGACUGAAUUUUGCUUAUGAACAAUCAUGUCAACCCACCAUCUGCUUGCAACUGUCAGUCCACUCUUAAGUCAAAUUCUUGCUGAACUGCCCCUGUAGAUAAUUUAAGAUCUUGACUUCUCACCCUGUUAACCUGUCUUGUUCUCCUGGGCCUCAGAGCUCAGUUUCUGAAGCUAGGCAGGCCUUCACCUGGAAAUCCUCCUGGCUCAGUCUCCUGCAUAGCUGAAGUGUACCUGAGACACUAUAUGCAGCUUCACUCCUCAGGCCUUGGCUGUCUUUCCAGCCUGUUGGUGCACAUACCCAGAUUCACUGAGGAGGAACCAACCUCAGCAAAUGGGAUUGUUUAUUUCACAGUGGUGAAGGGCGGACGCAAUGGGCAUGACAGCUCACACUCUUGGUUGUCAGCUUAGUGACAUGCAAGGUUAACUAAACCCAAGCAGCUGAGCACACCUGUGAGGAAUUCUCUUCAUCCAAUCCAGGAAGACCUGGCUUUGUGCCUGGAGCAUCCCUCAUGCGACUGCAUGGUGGGGGUGGGGUGGGGGUGGGGUCAGUAAAGGGCUUGGAGGUGAAGCACUCUGGAGACAGUUUCAGGGAUUGGCUUCUGCUGUAUUGCACAUGAGCAGCUGUUUAUCUUGUGGAAGCCUAUCGGCUGUGAUUGGUUAGCACAUUACCUCAGAUUGGACUCAUAUUGCCUGGGUCUCUGUGCAGAAGAAGCACACAAACAGACUUGGAGAAUGCAGAUGCAUCAGCAGGCCAGCUACCACCUACGGAUGCUACUUCAGCAUUCCGUGUUCUGACUCUCGGAAUACCCAGGAGCAUGGUGUGCCAGGUGUCUCUCUUAGAAGCAGUGUGCUCGUAGUCCGACUGCCAGGUCAGGCGUGCAUUUUUUCCUACAGAGACCCACCCUAAAUCUGCAUCUUUUGAAGUGGGAGUAUCUACCUUAAAUCUGGACCACACCUUCUGGUGGCAAACUCCAUAAAGGACAUGGAAGAAGGACGCUUUCGCUCUUUGCCUGCUUGCCUUGCUCUUCCCUCAUUGCUCUUUCAGCCUACGUAUACUGAAGACCAGCGGAGACAUCCAGGCUCGAGGACUGAACAAGUACUGGGUUCUUGGACUUUACUUUGGAGACAGCCAUUGUCAAACUAGCUGAACCACAGCCUGUAAGCCACUCUAAUAAAUCAGAUAUGAUUUACUCUUAUUCUAUCAGUUUUGUUUCUCUAAAGAAUCUUGACCAUACAGUGGGGAAGGACUGUCUGCUGAAGAGGGAAGGAGUUUAUAUAGUGGGGUUGGAGACCGGGAAGUUAGGGUAGCCGCUGCUGGGGCUAUAUGUUAGCCUGACGUUUCUGGAAUUGUUUGUUCACGUAAAGUCAGUUGAUCUUUAGAAACUGCCUUGCCC
rnacentral:lncRNA from 1 species